UCUUACUAACUAAUAAAUUUUAGAAGCAUUUAAAAAAAAAAUCUGAUCUUGGAAGCAAAGCAGGAUUGGGUCUGGUUAGUACUUGGAUGGGAGACCACCUAGGAAGACCAGGUGCUGUAGGCA
rnacentral:rRNA from 1 species